rnacentral:tRNA from 1 species
UGCGGUUUUAGCUCAGUUGGGAGAGCGUCAGACUGAAGGUCUGGAGGUCCUGUGUUCGAUCCACAGAAAUCGCAU